rnacentral:rRNA from 1 species
AACGAACGCUGGCGGCAUGCCUAACACAUGCAAGUCGAACGAGACCUUCGGGUCUAGUGGCGCACGGGUGCGUAACGCGUGGGAAUCUGCCCUUGGGUUCGGAAUAACAGCUAGAAAUGGCUGCUAAUACCGAAUAAUGACGUAAGUCCAAAGAUUUAUCGCCCAAGGAUGAGCCCGCGUAGGAUUAGCUAGUUGGUGAGGUAAAAGCUCACCAAGGCGACGAUCCUUAGCUGGUCUGAGAGGAUGAUCAGCCACACUGGGACUGAGACACGGCCCAGACUCCUACGGGAGGCAGCAGUGGGAAUAUUGGACAAUGGGCGAAAGCCUGAUCCAGCAAUGCCGCGUGAGUGAUGAAGGCCUUAGGGUUGUAAAGCUCUUUUACCCGGGAUGAUAAUGACAGUACCGGGAGAAUAAGCUCCGGCUAACUCCGUGCCAGCAGCCGCGGUAAUACGGAGGGAGCUAGCGUUGUUCGGAAUUACUGGGCGUAAAGCGCACGUAGGCGGCUUUGCAAGUUAGAGGUGAAAGCCUGGGGCUCAACCCCAGAAUUGCCUUUAAGACUGCAUCGCUAGAAUCCAGGAGAGGUGAGUGGAAUUCCGAGUGUAGAGGUGAAAUUCGUAGAUAUUCGGAAGAACACCAGUGGCGAAGGCGGCUCACUGGACUGGUAUUGACGCUGAGGUGCGAAAGCGUGGGGAGCAAACAGG